UAUUGCACAAUGGAGGGAACUCUGAUGCAGCAACGCCGCGUGGAGGAUGACGCAUUUCGGUGUGUAAACUCCUUUUAUGAGCCAAGAAAAUGACGGUAACUCAUGAAUAAGCACCGGCUAACUCCGUGCCAGCAGCCGCGGUAAUACGGAGGGUGCAAGCGUUACUCGGAAUCACUGGGCGUAAAGGACGCGUAGGCGGGUUGGAAAGUCAGGUGUGAAAUCCUACAGCUUAACUGUAGAACUGCACUUGAAACUUCUAACCUAGAGUAUGGGAGGGGCAGAUGGAAUUAGUGGUGUAGGGGUAAAAUCCGUAGAUAUCACUAGGAAUACCUAAAGCGAAGGCGAUCUGCUGGAACAUAACUGACGCUAAGGCGUGAAAGCGUGGGGAGCAAACGGG
rnacentral:rRNA from 1 species